AUUCACCCAACAACAUUUUUGAUGCAUGAUGCAUAUGGUGCUAAAUGCUGGGAAUGCAAACCUGAGUAAGUGUCUAUUUCAAAUCAAUAGGAGUACUUGAAGAUUCUCCCUGCUUACAAUGUAAACAUCAUGAAGAAAGAGAUGUGUUGGACUUGUUCAUCGCUAUAUUUCCUGGCUCAGAUCCUGGCACUGAGUAGACAUCAAGAAAUAUUUAAAUGAAUGAAAGAAUGAAUGAAUGAAUGAACGAACUGUGUCCUCUUGUAGAGCUGAGGGUGUUUUACCACUACCCUAAGAGCUGACACCAGGAGGUCUUGCUGCAAAGCCAGGCACUGUAUUCCACACUGUAUUUCCAUCAUCGCUUUUAAUGAGACUUCUUUGCAAAUAUGUAUGGUAUCUUUUAAAAUACCUGAUAACCAGCCAGCAGGGGUGGUCAGCUGCUACACUGGUAGCCACAAACAGAAUCCAAGACACAGAACUUCAUACGGUGUCACAGCUUCAUUUUCCAGGCUACAGCUCCCACUGCCCACAUCAGAACCAUCUGCAGGUCCAUAAGCUUGUAUUUUAGGUGUGGCCCAAGACAAUUCUUCUUCCAAUGUGGCCCAGGGAAGCCAAAAGAUUGGACCCUCCUGAAAUGAGGCACAAGAACGUGCAGCCCGGGCUCCUGAUGCCGAGGACCGGGAAAGGCCCAACGGAGUUUGGCUUUAGUGAGGAGCUUCAACAGUCAGGAUUCCUAUUAACACUGUGAUUGUGUUCCUUUGGUGGACCUUGGAAGUGUUCAAACAAUCUCAAGUACAUAUGCAAGUUAGCUGAGGGAAGAGCUGUUUUUCAUUCCUGUGAGACAGCUCUCUGAAUGAAUUCAGUUUGUCUAGACAGACUGUAAAUCCACUGGGUAAUUAUCUCACCUCCCAUCACUAUGGAGUAAAAAAUAAAUAAAGAGCGUUAGAAACUUCCAUGUUAAAUCAAAA
rnacentral:lncRNA from 1 species